rnacentral:rRNA from 1 species
UGUGUGACUGCGUACCUUUUGUAUAAUGGGUCAGCGACUUAUAUUCUGUAGCAAGGUUAACCGAAUAGGGGAGCCGGAGGGAAACCGAGUCUUAAUUGGGCGUUAAGUUGCAGGGUAUAGACCCGAAACCCGGUGAUCUAGCCAUGGGCAGGUUGAAGGUUGGGUAACACUAACUGGAGGACCGAACCGACUAAUGUUGAAAAAUUAGCGGAUGACCUGUGGCUGGGGGUGAAAGGCCAAUCAAACCGGGAGAUAGCUGGUUCUCCCCGAAAGCUAUUUAGGUAGCGCCUCGUGAAUUCAUCUCCGGGGGUAGAGCACUGUUUCGGCUAGGGGGCCAUCCCGGCUUACCAACCCGAUGCAAACUGCGAAUACCGGAGAAUGUUAUCACGGGAGACACACGGCGGGUGCUAACGUCCGUCGUGAAGAGGGAAACAACCCAGACCGCCAGCUAAGGUCCCAAAGUCAUGGUUAAGUGGGAAACGAUGUGGGAAGGCCCAGACAGCCAGGAUGUUGGCUUAGAAGCAGCCAUCAUUUAAAGAAAGCGUAAUAGCUCACUGGUCGAGUCGGCCUGCGCGGAAGAUGUAACGGGGCUAAACCAUGCACCGAAGCUGCGGCAGCGACGCUGAUGCGUUGUUGGGUAGGGGAGCGUUCUGUAAGCCUGCGAAGGUGGCCUGUGAGGGUUGCUGGAGGUAUCAGAAGUGCGAAUGCUGACAUAAGUAACGAUAAAGCGGGUGAAAAGCCCGCUCGCCGGAAGACCAAGGGUUCCUGUCCAACGUUAAUCGGGGCAGGGUGAGUCGACCCCUAAGGCGAGGCCGAAAGGCGUAGUCGAUGGGAAACGGGUUAAUAUUCCCGUACUUGGUGUUACUGCGAAGGGGGGACGGAGAAGGCUAUGUUGGCCGGGCGACGGUUGUCCCGGUUUAAGCGUGUAGGUGUGUGUUCCAGGUAAAUCCGGUUCACUUUAACACUGAGGCGUGAUGACGAGGCACUACGGUGCUGAAGCAACAAAUGCCCUGCUUCCAGGAAAAGCCUCUAAGCAUCAGGUAACAUCAAAUCGUACCCCAAACCGACACAGGUGGUCAGGUAGAGAAUACCAAGGCGCUUGAGAGAACUCGGGUGAAGGAACUAGGCAAAAUGGUGCCGUAACUUCGGGAGAAGGCACGCUGACACGUAGGUGAAGUGAUUUACUCAUGGAGCUGAAGUCAGUCGAAGAUACCAGCUGGCUGCAACUGUUUAUUAAAAACACAGCACUGUGCAAACACGAAAGUGGACGUAUACGGUGUGACGCCUGCCCGGUGCCGGAAGGUUAAUUGAUGGGGUCAGCGCAAGCGAAGCUCCUGAUCGAAGCCCCGGUAAACGGCGGCCGUAACUAUAACGGUCCUAAGGUAGCGAAAUUCCUUGUCGGGUAAGUUCCGACCUGCACGAAUGGCGUAAUGAUGGCCAGGCUGUCUCCACCCGAGACUCAGUGAAAUUGAACUCGCUGUGAAGAUGCAGUGUACCCGCGGCAAGACGGAAAGACCCCGUGAACCUUUACUAUAGCUUGACACUGAACAUUGAGCCUUGAUGUGUAGGAUAGGUGGGAGGCUUUGAAGUGUGGACGCCAGUCUGCAUGGAGCCGACCUUGAAAUACCACCCUUUAAUGUUUGAUGUUCUAACGUGGACCCGUGAUCCGGGUUGCGGACAGUGUCUGGUGGGUAGUUUGACUGGGGCGGUCUCCUCCUAAAGAGUAACGGAGGAGCACGAAGGUUGGCUAAUCCUGGUCGGACAUCAGGAGGUUAGUGCAAUGGCAUAAGCCAGCUUGACUGCGAGCGUGACGGCGCGAGCAGGUGCGAAAGCAGGUCAUAGUGAUCCGGUGGUUCUGAAUGGAAGGGCCAUCGCUCAACGGAUAAAAGGUACUCCGGGGAUAACAGGCUGAUACCGCCCAAGAGUUCAUAUCGACGGCGGUGUUUGGCACCUCGAUGUCGGCUCAUCACAUCCUGGGGCUGAAGUAGGUCCCAAGGGUAUGGCUGUUCGCCAUUUAAAGUGGUACGCGAGCUGGGUUUAGAACGUCGUGAGACAGUUCGGUCCCUAUCUGCCGUGGGCGCUGGAGAACUGAGGGGGGCUGCUCCUAGUACGAGAGGACCGGAGUGGACGCAUCACUGGUGUUCGGGUUGUCAUGCCAAUGGCACUGCCCGGUAGCUAAAUGCGGAAGAGAUAAGUGCUGAAAGCAUCUAAGCACGAAACUUGCCCCGA